rnacentral:lncRNA from 1 species
GAUUCCUGAUUAAAUAAUACCAAAAGAAAAUUCAAAAAUUAGUAAGAGAGAGAAAGGAGAUAAGAAAAGUAAAAAAAUAGAAAAUAUUUUUAUUUUAUUUUAGAUAUAUAUUAUUAUUUUAUUUUUUAUUUUUAUUUUUUUGAAAAUUUUUUUUGAAAAGAAAAACAACUAUGCUAGCAAUCCCCGGCAACGGCGCCAAAAAUUGAUAGUCAAUUUUAAAGACCACGCAAUAGCACGUACCUAGUAGGAUAGUGAUUACGGGUAUCGAUCCACAGGGAUUGGGAUGUAGUUAUUUUCUUAAAAAAAAUUUAAAAAGAUAGUUUGCGAAGACUAUUAAACUAAGCAAGUUAAUAAGAAAUGCAAUUAAAAUGAUAUCAGUUUGGGAAAACCUAGGGCAAGAAAUUCACCACUAACAUCGGAACAAGGGUUAUUUGUAUUUUAAUUUAUUCUUGGAUUAACAUGCAAAUUGGCUACAAGCCU